CGCAAGGUGGAAGUUUUGCCGAGUGUGCGAAACAUCCUUGCACUGGCCCUGAGCAUCCCUGAGCUGUGCUGCCACUGGGGUCACCCCUUCCAGGACUGGGGACAGUAGGUUACAGUGGAGUACCCUUACCCACCCCCACCCCCUCAUCAACUCUGCUUCUCCUUCCUGGCCUACAUGCCUCAGUUUCCACCUCUUAAACCACUUCACUUCAUCUCCUGCUCCCCUAACUCCAGGCACUCACACCCUCCCCCAAUCACCUAGAUAAAGCCCCCUAAUCCCUCUCAUUCCCUUCCCCCAGGGCACCUGCCCCCGAAUCCUCCUUAUCCAAAAAUCCUCUCAUCUCCCCAAGCCCCUGCAUCCCUCCUGCUCCUGCCCAUUCCCAUAUCCCCUGAGCGGGUCCUAAAGCAACCUGUCUCCACUUCAACCCAGAUGGGCCUAGCCACAACCCAACAUCCCGAAACUGCCAGGAGCCCCAAUCCCUCUGCUUAUCUCCCAUCUGCCCCCCAAUUGACCGUCAGCCUAAAUCCUCCUCUGGACGCCCCCCUCCGUAAGCCAGCGACCCUCGGCGCCCAUCCACAGCCCCCACUAUUGCCAUGUGCCCAGCUAAGGCUCGCUGGGGGUGGGAAGGAGGCGGAGGGAAGAAAUGAAGCAGUGCCUUGUGGGAGAUGGAGUGUGCCCCGGCCUACAUCUCCCAUCAGCCACUGCAGAGCCUUCGGCACCGAUGGGAGAGGCAGUGUCCUGUGCCGAGUGCCUUGUGUUUGGGCAGGAGGCUCUUAUGGUAUUACAGCUUCCGUUUGCAGGGCGGAGCCAGAAAUGGAAGUAGCGGGAAGAGGAAGUGAUAUCAGCGGUCUGGAAACCAACCGCGGUCCACUAGGGGACUCGGCUUCGUUCUGCGCGAGUCGCUUCCGUCAAGAGUGAGUUUGCAGAGGAAUCGUCCAGGAGCCUUAGCUGGACGAGAAUAUGGCAGAAGUGGACCUGAGCAGCCUGAACAUCCUUCUAAGGAAACAUGAACAGUCCUCAUGUUUCUGCCUUCUGCAUAACUGGCUGAAAAAGAAGUCACGCAUCAGAGUCUACUACCCUCAUGCGAUGGAAAGCGAGCAAGAGCGAUGAGAUCCUGAACAUUGUUGAUGCCAAGCAAAAGCCACCAAACUGGGAGCGAAACAGCUGCUACUGUCAGUGAGAUAAAUGUCUGUUUUAGUGAUUGCUCUGCUCACGGCCCACCUUGCUCCUGGUAGGGAAGCCCUGUAAGGUGGGGCUGGGUUUCUAAGAAAAGGUUCCUGACUAGCUGUGGUUAUGAGGGAGACAAGAUCCCCAAUUUCAGGGGCUUAUAAUUUCUCUGGGCAGGAGAAGUGUGUCCUAUGCAGCAGAAGGUUGCAUCUAGGAGGAUGACUCCAGGUGGUGAGUUGCUUGCCUUCCUCCCAUGUUUUUCUCUCUGUGUGUGUCUCUCUCUCUUCUCUAGUGUGUUGGCCAACUUUCUCGCUCUCUGUCUCUCCUCUCCUCUCUUUGUGCUGUCUCCCUUCAUAGGACACACGUAGCUUUCCACAGGUGAGGUCUCGGGAGCCAGGAAGAAGUAGGAGGGGACGAAAAUCAUGCAGGGCAGUGGGUGCGAGAGUGGAGCAGUGACUGUCUGUGUUAACUCAGUCUCUGUUCAUCGGGUGGGGCUCAUGUAGAUGGGAUGGAAGAGGGAGGCAGGGCUGAGAGCAAGAUUUCAAGCACCAAUAGAGCUUUGUUGAGUGAUGGCUCAUGCUUAGUUUUUGCAGCUGCUCUUGCAGAGUAAUUGUCCAGGAGCGCUAGCCGGAGGAGAAAUGGCAGCGGUGUACCUAAGCAGCUUGGCCAUCCUUCUAAGGAAACAUGAACUGUCGUCAGCUUUCUGCCUCCCGCUUAACUGGCUUACCAAGGGAAAAGAAGUCACGUGUCAGAGUCUACUGCCCUCAUGCGAUGGAAAGCGAGCGAGAGCAACCAGACACUGAGCAUUGUUGAUGCCACCAAAAGCCGUCCAGUUGGGAACAGAACAGCUGCCGCUGUCAGUGAGAUAAGUGCCUGUUUUGGUGAUUGCUCUGCUUGUGGCCCACCUUGCUUCUGGUAGCGACAUCCCGUUAGCUGGGGUGGCUUUGUAAGAAAAUGUUCCUGACUAGCUGUAGUUAUGAGGGAGACAAGGUCCCCAUUUUCAGGGACUGCUCAUUUCUCUGGCCAGGAGCAGUGUAUCCUCUGCAGCAGAAGAUUAGAUUGAGGAAGGUGACUGCAGGUGCUUCGCAGAAGAAUUGUCCAGGAGCCCUAGCCGGAGGAGAAAGUGGCAGAGGUGUACCUGAGCAGCUUGGACAUCCUUCUAAGCAGACAUGAAGAGUCCUCCGCUUUCUACCUCCCACUUAACUGGCUGCGAGUAAGCGAAAUCAAACGUCAGAAUUUACUCCCCUAUUUGGAUGGAAAGCGAGCGAGAGCAGUGAGCCCGUGAGCAUUGUUUAUGCAAGCCAGGAGCCGUCCAGUUAGCAGUGAGCAGUCACUACUGUCAUUGAGAAGUGUCUGGUUUGGUGAGGUCUCUGCUCACAGCCUGUCUGGCUCCAGGAGCAGUGUGUCCUCCGCAGCAGAAGGUUGCAUCAAGGAGGAUGACUCCAGGUGCUACUCUCGCAGAGGAAUUCUCCAGGAGCCUGAGCCGGAGGAGAAAUGGCCGAGGUGUACCUGAGCAGCUUGGACAUCCUUCUAAGCAGACAUGAAGAGACCUCAGCUUUCUUCCUCCUGCUUAAUUGGCUCUGAGUAAGAGUACCAAGGAAAAAGAAGUUAAGCAUCAGAGUCUACUGCUCUCAUGCGAUGGAAAGUGAGUGAGAGCAGCGAGCCUGUGAUCAUUGUUGAUGCCAGGCAAGAGCUGUCCAUCUGGGAGCCGAGCAGCCGCCACUGUCCGUGAGAUAAGUGCCUGGUUUGGUGAGGUAUCUGCUCAAGCCCCCCCUGAGUCCAGAGGCUGCUCAUUUCUCUAGUCAGGACCGGUGUUGCGUCCGCAGCAGAAGGUUACAUCUAGGAGGAUGACUCCGGGUGGAACGGUGUCUCCUCCGCAGCAGAAGGUUGCAUCGAAGAGGAUGACUCCAGCUGGACAGGGGUACGUGUGCGUUCCAAGAGGUGAGGUCUCGGGAGCCAUGGAGAAGUCGGAGCGGAUGAAAAUCACGCAGGGCAGUAGAAAGGCUGCUGAAAGUACCUGAAGAGACAAAGGAACUGAGAAGGGGGAAGUCCAGGGCUGAGUCCAGACUAAGACAGGAGUCUAGUCUGUGAGGAGAAACAA